rnacentral:lncRNA from 1 species
GAUAUUUGGAGUUUGGGAGUCAGCAUUCUUGAAUUCUACUUGGGAAAAUUCCCAUUCGCCGUGGGGAGGCAGGGAGAUUGGGCUAGUCUAAUGUGCGCCAUUUGUAUGUCGCAGCCCCCGGAGGCGCCGGCGACGGCCAGCCGGGAGUUCAGGGAUUUCAUUGCUUGCUGCCUGCAAAGGGAUCCGGCAAAGCGGUGGACGGCAGCUCAGCUGUUGAGGCAUCCGUUCAUCGCGCAGUAUGCAUCUCCGCCGCCUGGAAGCAACGGCAGCGGGAAUAAUCAGGUUCAUCAUCAGUCUCAUCUAUUACCCCCGCCUCGCCCGCAUUCUUCAAUUCCUUAGUUUCUGCUCUACUCAAUAAGUUACCUCUUAAUUCUAUAGAAUUGUGCCUGGGUUUAGGGUUGUGGGAGAAAUGGUGGAUAUUUUAUUACUUAGCAUCGAGCCUCAUGAUCAACCAUCUUAAGUUGAACGAUGUUGUUAAACCCUUGAAAGCAAUGAAAAUCUAUUUUCAGAGUCCCAAUUUCAUCUUUACCUAUUCUUGUUUGAUUCAUACUAUUGAAUUGAUGAGUUGCAUUGCAUUGCAUCAACACCUGUCUUUGUCUAUGCCAAAGAAGAGAUGAUAAGCUUGUGUGCACAUAUUCUUUUUGCCUGUCAUCGAAUCCUUAUCCUUUGAGAUUAAUCCAACUUGGAUCGCAUCUCUCUCUCGUUUUCUUUUGCUAUAUUUGUGUGAUGUUGUAGUUGCUCCAAUCCACUAAAUCUACGACCUUAAUGGCGACUAUCUUGGUUGGUUGUUUUGGAUUUUGGAAGAUGGUGUGUGUACAUACAUCUACUUUGGGCAAAAUCCUAUUGCCUUUCCAACUUGUUACUUUACCCCAAUAAUGAAAAAAACAUUUUGCUAUGCACAACAUGUGACCAUAUGCUUCUUCACUGCCUCUCCAUAUCUACUUUUAUCUUCAUCAUAUAAUACACUCAACUUGUUUCAAUCCCGCAUUACAUAAAUGCUUUUCUGAUUAUGAUAUAGUGUUGUUUGUUUGUUUGUAAUAACAUACAUACACACACACAAAGAAAAAAGAAAGAAAGAUGUAGUGUAGUUUUCUUGAAAUGGAAUGUGACUUGCUGCAUCAGUUUGAUGUGUGCUGUAAUAAUAAUGGUUUUAAAUGUUGAUGUAUUAUUGUGUAGCCAUAAGAAAAGUAAUAUAUGUAUGAUUGUACUUGUACCAUCUCUUGGGACAUUGCAAGACCUGUCUAGUUUUUGCUUUUCGGAUUCCGGAUUUUCUGUUCUUUCUUUUUUUUUAGAUUUGGAUGAAUAUUUAACUUGUUCUUAUAUAUUCCGUUAAAUCUUUUUUACUUUAAUGUUGAUGCUCGCACUGUCGGUAGUAAGUAGUAACUGAUGUAGUUUGAAUUUAAACAUUUUUUUGCGACAUUUGUGCAUUUAUCUGUACUUUUUCACCAUGUUGUAUGCACAAAUUGUUGGAAAAAGGAAAGGCAUCUUUUACCCACUUGCCACUACAAAGAAAAUUGUACUAUAAUUUAAAAUAAAUUUAACAAAAACUGAAAAACCUGAAAGUGUGUUAACCUUAUACUCUUUUACCCGAAACAUUGGAUUACGUAUUAAAAUGAGUCAAGUGUUCCUACAUUGCAUCUAAAGGAGUUGAGCUCUCUAUGAGUAUUUUGAAUCUUGAUUCUAGGAAAAUUCAGACAAUCUCUUUGCGGUAACACAUUAAGUUCAAUAUCCGAUUUAUAAGUUGACUAUCCGUUUGUUAUUUGAGAUUUUUUAUGUUUUUGUUAUAAGAAGAUAAUGAAUAUUUAAAUAUUAAAUAUGUCAUUACUAAGAUCGACUAGAUUCAAUAAAAUUCACGAACCUUGAUAUUUUUAUAAAUUAAGCUAAAUGGAUUACACACUCCUACUUGGAUUAUAUAAAUUUUAUUACUCAUUAGCCUAUGAUAAGCUAAGCAUACCUCUUCAAAUUUACUCGACACUAUCAAUGUACAAUAUUUUCACUUUCAGUUUAAUUAAUACAUAUAUGAUGCAAAUGCUAAACCUAAACAUAUGGGAUACGGUUUACACAGACGAUGAAUUCAAAUAGUUCAAACUCAGUGUAGAAGGCAAAACUCAUCAUGGGCAAAACUGCAACAUUGCUGCUUCUAUCUUCUUCUCUUUUUAAUAUAAAAGGGAUUUUAUAUAAGCCCAAUGAGUAUACAGGCCCAAUCCUCUAUUGCGAGAGAAAAUAUAUUUAGACCCACGAAACGAUGCCACAUAAUACACGUACAUUCAAUUAGCAUAUGAUAUUUGAACAAUGAAAUUAGACACUUCCGACUAAUCCACACGCUUAUAAGUUCAGACAUGAGAAAUUAUUUAUCAACGUCGACAAAGCAUGGACAGUGAUGCUAAGUUGAUUUGUGAUAUUGAUAUAUACAUACAAACUAGUAUGUGCCCNGGAAAAAUCUACGCCCUCAAAGUGAUAUACGGCAACCACGAGGACGCCGUGCGCAAUCAGAUGCGCCGCGAAAUCCAGAUUCUCCGCGACGUGGACAACCCUAACGUGGUCCGCUGCCACAACCUCAUCGAUCACAACGGCGAAAUUCAAGUCCUCCUCGAGUACAUGGACAAGGGAUCGCUCGAGGGCACGCACAUCCCCAACGAACCCUCGCUCUCCGAUCUCGCCCGCCAGAUUCUCUGCGGAUUGUACUACCUCCACCGCCGCAAAAUCGUCCAUCGCGAUAUCAAGCCCUCCAAUUUACUAAUCAAUUCGCGAGGGGUGGUAAAAAUAGCCGAUUUUGGCGUGUCCCGAAUUCUGGCUCAGACCAUGGACAACUGCAACUCGUCGGUGGGGACGAUUGCGUAUAUGAGCCCCGAGAGAAUCAACACCGAUCUCAAUCACGGGAGAUACGACGGAUACGCGGGGGAUAUUUGGAGUUUGGGAGUCAGCAUUCUUGAAUUCUACUUGGGAAAAUUCCCAUUCGCCGUGGGGAGGCAGGGAGAUUGGGCUAGUCUAAUGUGCGCCAUUUGUAUGUCGCAGCCCCCGGAGGCGCCGGCGACGGCCAGCCGGGAGUUCAGGGAUUUCAUUGCUUGCUGCCUGCAAAGGGAUCCGGCAAAGCGGUGGACGGCAGCUCAGCUGUUGAGGCAUCCGUUCAUCGCGCAGUAUGCAUCUCCGCCGCCUGGAAGCAACGGCAGCGGGAAUAAUCAGGUUCAUCAUCAGUCUCAUCUAUUACCCCCGCCUCGCCCGCAUUCUUCAAUUCCUUAGUUUCUGCUCUACUCAAUAAGUUACCUCUUAAUUCUAUAGAAUUGUGCCUGGGUUUAGGGUUGUGGGAGAAAUGGUGGAUAUUUUAUUACUUAGCAUCGAGCCUCAUGAUCAACCAUCUUAAGUUGAACGAUGUUGUUAAACCCUUGAAAGGAAUGAAAAUCUAUUUUCAGAGUCCCAAUUUCAUCUUACCUAUUCUUGUUUGAUUCAUACUAUUGAAUUGAUGAGUUGCAUUGCAUUGCAUCAACACCUGUCUUUGUCUAUGCCAAAGAAGAGAUGAUAAGCUUGUGUGCACAUAUUCUUUUUGCCUGUCAUCGAAUCCUUAUCCUUUGAGAUUAAUCCAACUUGGAUCGCAUCUCUCUCUCGUUUUCUUUUGCUAUAUUUGUGUGAUGUUGUAGUUGCUCCAAUCCACUAAAUCUACGACCUUAAUGGCGACUAUCUUGGUUGGUUGUUUUGGAUUUUGGAAGAUGGUGUGUGUACAUACAUCUACUUUGGGCAAAAUCCUAUUGCCUUUCCAACUUGUUACUUUACCCCAAUAAUGAAAAAAAACAUUUUGCUAUGCACAACAUGUGACCAUAUGCUUCUUCACUGCCUCUCCAUAUCUACUUUUAUCUUCAUCAUAUAAUACACUCAACUUGUUUCAAUCCCGCAUUACAUAAAUGCUUUUCUGAUUAUGAUAUAGUGUUGUUUGUUUGUUUGUAAUAACAUACAUACACACACACAAAGAAAAAAGAAAGAAAGAUGUAGUGUAGUUUUCUUGAAAUGGAAUGUGACUUGCUGCAUCAGUUUGAUGUGUGCUGUAAUAAUAAUGGUUUUAAAUGUUGAUGUAUUAUUGUGUAGCCAUAAGAAAAGUAAUAUAUGUAUGAUUGUACUUGUACCAUCUCUUGGGACAUUGCAAGACCUGUCUAGUUUUUGCUUUUCGGAUUCCGGAUUUUCUGUCUCUUUUUUCUUUUUUUAGAUUUGGAUGAAUAUUUAACUUGUUCUUAUAUAUUCCGUUAAAUCUUUUUUACUUUAAUGUUGAUGCUCGCACUGUCGGUA